rnacentral:lncRNA from 1 species
CCCGCGCUUACCUCUCCCCUCGAAGGCCACCUACACCUUUGCACCUUUGUCUUCUAGUCCUCUUCAACCCAGCUCUCCCCGUGUCCAUGCAAAGAGCUUUGGGACCAGGAGACACAGCGGACGGACCACCAGCACGAAGCAGCAGCAGGUGUUGGCAGCUGUGGACGACUGUAUUUACUGACAACACAUCUGGACUGAUAUUUACCACCCUUCAGAUGUUUGCAAGUGAGUCAAAGCUGUGAGGAGCCAUGCACAGAAGCGGCAGCAUGAUCUGACCCCAACACCUAUCCCCGGAGGAUCAGGACUCUCUGCCUGAAGCUACCAGUGUCCCACCCUGUUUCCAAUACCCAGGGCUGGGUGCAAGGCCCAUCCAAUUAAACUACCUAAACUGGGAGUCAGAUGUCAUCUAUCCAUUUAACCAACUCUCUCUAGUUUUUCCCCAAAUGUCAUAGAUGAUAAAGACUUUCAACACAGCUCCCACCACCCGCUUCUAUACACACCCCAGUGCUUCAUCACAUUG